rnacentral:rRNA from 1 species
GUCCUAGCCCUAAACGAUGUUCAUUAGAUGUGGGAGGUAUCGACCCCUUCCGCGUCGGCGCUAACGCAUUAAAUGAACCGCCUGGGGAGUACGGCCGCAAGGUUGAAACUCAAAGGAAUUGACGGGGGCCCGCACAAGCGGUGGAGUAUGUGGUUUAAUUCGACGCAACGCGAAGAACCUUACCUGGGCUUGAACUACUCGUGGUAGAUCGCUGGAAACAGUUGUCGACCCGCAAGGGAGCGAGCAGAGGUGCUGCAUGGUUGUCGU